UGCCAAGAUGCACCACAAAUGGGAUUCUGCCUCCUGGUCAUGAAUUAUCUCAUCUUUGCUAAUGCUCUGGUCUGUUUGCUUGCUUACAUAAAAUGCAGCUCAUCCAUAUUAAUCUACAUCAAAAAUAAUUCUCCAAGGAAAAGUAUCUCAAGAUGACUGAAGGCAAAUUGUCAGUGAUUAAAAUGCUCUGGAACCUCAUCACCACUUCAACAAAUUGUGUGUAACAUGUAUUUAUUAUGAACAAGUUCUUUGUGAUCAUAGCUCAGAAGAUACACAAACCAUAGUGAAAGGUGUUGGUUUCUUUAGCUUCUACAUCUGUGGUGAAUAAAAGCAAUCUGAGACUUUAAAGUAUCAAAUAAAUGAGUUCCCAUGUUGCUAACCCCUAGAAA